rnacentral:rRNA from 1 species
GGACGGGUGAGUAACACGUAAGCAACCUGCCUAUAAGAGGGGAAUAACAGUGAGAAAUUACUGAUAAUACCGCAUAAGCUGGAGGUAUCGCAUGAUACAUUCAGAAAAGAUUUAUCGCUUAUAGAUGGGCUUGCGUCUGAUUAGCUAGUUGGUGAGAUAACAGCUCACCAAGGCGACGAUCAGUAGCCGGAUUGAGAGGUUGAACGGCCACAUUGGGACUGAGACACGGCCCAGACUCC